AAGACUAUAUUUGCAAGGAUCAUUUCUAGAGUGAAACAUGUUUUGAAGGGAUUGGUCUCGGUAUCCCCCAGGAGGAGCGGGAGUGUUUUCUUCUCAGCAACGAGCUGACAAUGAGUGUUGUUUUUGGGCACCUGCUCGCUGCUACUGAUGACCACUCCAAUCUUCAGUCGAUGGAUUGUUGAAGGAAGGGGACACAUUCUGAGUGCG